rnacentral:rRNA from 1 species
AACGAACGCUGGCGGCAUGCCUAACACAUGCAAGUCGAACGAGACCUUCGGGUCUAGUGGCGCACGGGUGCGUAACGCGUGGGAACCUGCCCUUAGGUUCGGAAUAACUCCCCGAAAGGGGUGCUAAUACCGGAUAAUGUCUUCGGACCAAAGAUUUAUCGCCUUUGGUUGGGCCCGCGUUGGAUUAGCUAGUUGGUAGGGUAAAAGCCUACCAAGGCGACGAUCCAUAGCUGGUCUGAGAGGAUGAUCAGCCACACUGGGACUGAGACACGGCCCAGACUCCUACGGGAGGCAGCAGUGGGGAAUGUUGGACAAUGGGCGAAAGCCUGAUCCAGCAAUGCCGCGUGAGUGAUGAAGGCCUUAGGGUUGUAAAGCUCUUUUACCCGGGAUGAUAAUGACAGUACCGGGAGAAUAAGCUCCGGCUAACUCCGUG